AUUGAACGCUGGCGGCAGGCCUAACACAUGCAAGCCGAACGGUAACAGGAAGAAGCUUGCUUCUUUGCUGACGAGUGGCGGACGGGUGAGUAAUGUCUGGGAAACUGCCUGAUGGAGGGGGAUAACUACUGGAAACGGUAGCUAAUACCGCCUAACGUCGCAAGACCAAAGAGGGGGACCUUCGGGCCUCUAGCCAUCGGAUGGGCCCAGAUGGGAUUAGCUAGUUGGUGGGGUAACGGCUCACCAAGGCGACGAUCCCUAGCUGGUCUGAGAGGAUGACCAGCCACACUGGAACUGAGACACGGUCCAGACUCCUACGGGAGGCAGCAGUGGGGAAUAUUGCACAAUGGGCGCAAGCCUGAUGCAGCCAUGCCGCGUGUAUGAAGAAGGCCUUCGGGUUGUAAAGUACUUUCAGCGGGGAGGAAGGGAGUAAAGUUAAUACCUUUGCUCAUUGACGUUACCCGCAUAAGAAGCACCGGCUAACUCCGUGCCAGCAGCCGCAGUAA
rnacentral:rRNA from 1 species